rnacentral:tRNA from 1 species
AGCAGAGUGGGGCAGUGGAAGCGUGCUGGGCCCAUAACCCAGAGGCCGAUGGAUCGAAACCAUCCUCUGCUA